rnacentral:rRNA from 1 species
GAUGAACGUUGGCGGUGUGCCUAAUACAUGCAAGUCGAACGGAGUUAAUAGCAAUAUUGACUUAGUGGCGAACGGGUGAGUAACGCGUUGGUGAUCUGCCUCAAAGUGUGGAAUAACGUUCCGAAAGGAACGCUAAUACCGCAUGUGCUCUCGAUUUUUAGAAAGUUGAGAGUAAAGGAUUUAUUCGCUUUGAGAGGAGCCUGCGUCCCAUCAGCUAGUUGGUAGGGUAAUAGCCUACCAAGGCUUUGACGGGUAGGGGACCUGAGAGGGUCGGCCCCCCACAAUGGAACUGAAACACGGUCCAUACACCUACGGGUGGCAGCAGUAGGGAAUAUUAGAAAUGGACGAAAGUCUGAUCUAGCGACACCGCGUGUGCGAUGAAGGCCUUCGGGUUGUAAAGCACUUUUUGGAAGGAAUAGGAAGGAAGGUACUUCCAGAAUAAGUCUCGGCUAACUACGUG